rnacentral:misc_RNA from 1 species
AGGACCUUAGAUUUGCAGCAAUGAGAGAACUAAGGGAAGAAACAUGAGUUACUUCAGCCGAGUUUCUUGCAGAGGUUCCUGAUUAAGUUUACUGGGAAGGAAGGAGGAAGAGAUCAACCUAUUGGGAGAUGGAUAUUCAAGGAUUGGUCAUGGAUGUUACCAGAGCGAGUGGUGGAGCUUGUGAGUAAACCUUACUGCAUAAACAUUAACUGGAAUUCUUUCUUUGAAUAUUCAUACCAAAG